CUGGAGAGCUUCUGGGUGGAAAUUGUGGACCCUUUGGAAUUGCAGACCUAUCAGCAAUUGAUACAAACAGUCUGGACAACUGGUUUGAUUACGUCCUGAUAUAAGGCUAAUGCCCUGCUAAUGUCCAAGGUUUGUAAGCAGUAUCCUCCCUGGACUGAUGUUGUUUAGGGAAAAAACUGGGAGAUGGAUAACUUGAUAUGCAACUCAGAUGACACCUUUGGUAAGAAUUUAGAAUAUGGACAUAAUAAAACCUUGUCCUUAAAACAAAUUGUAAAUGGGGGUGUUCAACAUCCCCAAUUUCUACAACCCUUUGGGCAGAAGUAAUAGCCACCAAAAAGGCAGUCUUCAUGGAUAGGUUAAUUAGGGAACAGGUAGCCAUCAGCUCAAAGGAAGGUCUCAAAAGACACAAGUACUGAGUUCAGAUCCCAAAGAGGAGCGGGCUCUUUAACCUUAGCAAAAAAGUUCCUCAGCCCCUGAUAAACCUCACUAUUGAAGGAUGAGCAAAAACUGAGAAACCCUCAACUGGAGAAUGAAAGGUUGUUAUUGUCACCAAGUGGACUCUGAUAGAACUCACACAUAAUCCUGUCUUUUUCAGUUUCAGAAGGUAGUCCAGCAUAGCCAAGAGGGAAGAAUGAAUGGAUGGAAGACACCACUGGUUAUAUCAAUGGUUGAAUCUCUUCCCCUUUGGAAGGUAAUACCUUUUGUGGAUUCCUUCCUACUGUUCAGAAACUUCUGUUCCUCCACAGUACAGGAAGUCUCUAUUCCUGCGAACCAUCAAGGAGCCAAGCCUUGAGGUGAAGAAUUCCUAGAUUGGGACAAGGAGUCCAAUUAGCAUCUUGAGAGAAGAGAUGAGGAAUGGACGGAAGGUUCAUUGCCUGACAAAUGGCCUGGUGAACCAGGUAGAAUGCCAGGGCAUCCGGAAAAUUAGAUCUUUUCUCAUCAACAGAAGGAUGGAGUUUGGGGAAGAAAAGAGACAUGGCUGCUAGAAGAUGAAGCAGGAACAAAGUUGCUGACUUAACCCGGUGGUUGGAACUACCUGUUAGAAGCCAGUCAUCCAACUAUCGGAAGCCUGAGUAGCCAUGACAUCUUGUCUGGACUGCCACCACACAGAAAACCUUCAUGAAUACUCUGGGACCUGUUGCUAGUCCAAAGUGAAGGACUCUGAACUGGUAGUCUUCCUGACCUACCAGGAAAUGAAGAAAUUUUUUUGUUGGGAGGAUGAGUAUCUACAUGAAAACAGGGCAUCCUCCUUCAUACUGAAAGCCGUGUAUCACAUUUCCUCCUUUUGGGAGGGGAUUAUUGAUGCUAGUGUAACCAUUCUGAAUUUUGGCUUUCAAA